GCAGGUGUGGUGUAGCCUGGUAGCACAAAAGCCUUCCAAGCUUUUGACCCGGGUCCAAAUCCCGGCACCUGCA
rfam:Picrophilus torridus DSM 9790, complete genome.